AUGGUCUAUACAGAGUAUUGGCCAAAAUCCACCCAUCAGGGUCGGUUUAGUACAGAGUGCUGGCCAACAUCCACCAAUCAGGGACGUCUAGUACAGAGGCUGGCCAACAUCCACCAAUCAGGGUCGGUCUGGUUCAGAGUGCUGGCCAACAUCCACCAAUCAGGGACAGUCCAGUUCAUCAGGGUCAGUCUAGUACAGAGUGCAGGCCAACAUCCACCAAUCAGGGACGGUCUAGUACAGAGUGCUGGCCAACAUCCACAAAUCAGGGUCGAUCUGGUUCAGAGUGCUGGCCACAUCCACCAAUCAAGGACAGUCUAGUUCAUCAGGGUCGGUCUAGUCCGUCAUGUUUGUCUUGCUUUCUUCAGGGUCGUCUCUUUCUUCAGGUCGGUCUCGUUCUUCAGGGUCGUUCUCGUUCUUCCGGUCCGUCUCGUCUUCAGGGUCGGUCUCGUCAGCAGGGUCGAUCUAUCCAUCAGUGUCGGUCUAGUCCAAAGGGUCGUUCUUAGUACAGAGUGCUGGCAACAUCCAUCCAUCAGGGACGGUCUUGUUCAUCAGGGUCGGUCUUGUGCAUCAGUCGGUCUUGUCAUCAGGGUCGUCCUUGUUCAUCAGGGUCGGUCUUGUUUCAUCAGGUCGGUCUGUUCAUCGGGUCGGUCUUGUUCAUCAGGGUCGUCGUGUUUAGUCGCGCAUCGUUCAUCAGGGUCAGUCUUGUUCAUCGG
rnacentral:lncRNA from 1 species